CAGUACCGCGGGAAUACGUAGGGUGCAAGCGUUAAUCGGAAUUACUGGGCGUAAAGCGUGCGCAGGCGGUUAUAUAAGACAGAUGUGAAAUCCCCGGGCUCAACCUGGGAACUGCAUUUGUGACUGUAUAGCUAGAGUACGGCAGAGGGGGAUGGAAUUCCGCGUGUAGCAGUGAAAUGCGUAGAUAUGCGGAGGAACACCGAUGGCGAAGGCAAUCCCCUGGGCCUGUACUGACGCUCAUGCACGAAAGCGUGGGGAGCAAACAGGAUUAGAGACCCCAGUAGUCCCUGUCUCUUAUACA
rnacentral:rRNA from 1 species